rnacentral:piRNA from 1 species
UNCCAGGUGUGGACUUACGUUGCUGGGCUUU